rnacentral:rRNA from 1 species
CACGCUGUAAACGAUGUUCACUAGGUGUUGGGGGUAUUGACCCCCUCAGUGCCGCAGCUAACGCAUUAAGUGAACCGCCUGGGGAGUACGGUCGCAAGACUAAAACUCAAAGGAAUUGACGGGGGCCCGCACAAGCGGUGGAGCAUGUGGUUUAAUUCGAUGCAACGCGAAGAACCUUACCUGGGCUUGACAUCCCGAGAAUUCCCUGGAAACAGGGAAGUGCUCUUCGGAGAACUCGGAGACAGGUGC